UUUCCUCCGGGUGCUCCGGUUUCCCCCACAAGUCCAAAGACAUGCGGUAUAGGGGAAUUGGACAACCGAUGUCCAUGUCAAAAGAGCGUCUAUUCUUUAAGCUCUCUUUACUUACCUUGGUGAGGAUGAGGCAUGCCUGGUGAAAGAAUACAUGG